ACUCCCGAACGCUCCAUCUCAAAAUAGCCUCUCCCUGCCGUCCUAAAUUCACGCCGCAUUCCUCUCAAAAAAAUAAAUUUCACGCCGCAUUGCACGCCUCCACCGCCCUCACCUUCCCCCGAUCCGCCGCUUCCGAGCUCCCCCGGCGGCCCGGCCGAUCUUCUUCGUUGCCGGCGGCUCCGUGGGUAGGGUCCUCACUGCCGUCGCGGCGGCUGCCAAGGAAGUCCGGCUUCCCCGCUAGCUGGUUUGCCACGCCCGCGUUCGAAGGUUAGCAGUGCGGCCGCCGUGUCCGUUCCUACUGGGGAAGGCUAUUUGGUCGCUUUUCCUCCACUCGUGAAAUUCUUUGGGCGUUCGCCACGGUUUCGUCCGGUAUAGGGCAGAGGAUAGGCGGGGGAUACUGCUGGCGUGUCUGCCGGAUGGGAGCCUGGGAGGAAGGCAGUGGUGAUUCAAGAGUGGAGACAUCAAUCCCAUGGUCGCUCAGGCAUGAGCUUUGCUUUUCACUUUUUGUUCCUGGGAUUUUUUGAAGCUCAACGCACCUGGUGUUAAUACAUUUCACAGGCCAUCAGGAUGGAUAUGUAAAACCACUACUGGGUGUUGGACAACUGGGACAUCAUCUCCGUCGAUUCAUCCGCAACUGCGAAGCUAUGUCGCUUUCGUCCCUGUCCCUGGCCAGCUCCACCUCGACGACUAUCAUUCAUGGAGCUCCAGGAUAAUUGUAUGCAAUGAAGCUGGUUUAUAUGUAGAACUGACUAGGUGAGCCUCAAAAGACAUCAAUGGUCGGCGUGCACGUACGCAGAGCUAGCAUGAUAAGCACAAAGUGGCGGCCAGCAGCAGGUCGUAGACCCUUAAUAUUUUCUUGCUGGCCGCGUUCCUCGAAUCUCCUUCUCUCUCUUUUUCACCUUUUUCUUCCUGAAUUUCUCACUCUAUUAUGCAACUACAAUUCUCAUUUCCAUCAGUUUAUGGCUGCCGGUACUAAAACCAUACAAUUUCAGGCAGAUUGGAAAAGCAAGGAUGCACAUUCCCUUGGUAAAAGAUGUAUCACUCCCAUCAAUGAAAAACCUUGGUGCGUGUUAUGUCCAUCUUUGAAUAGGGAGAUCUUAUACAAGCUGGAUUUCGUUGUCGUCAACCUUGAGGUUUACCCUCAAAAUUUCAAAUGGUUGUUAGCUCACGUUGGCUUAUAAACCAUAUGAAUUAUUGGGACCAAUAUGUGGCCUUUCUCUUCCCAAUAAAUAUAUUUCUAUCUCCAUUUUUUGUAAUUCAACUUCAUAUAUGAUGGCUUCUUUUUUACCAUUGUAAUGACAUUCUUUUAUACAUAUUUAACCCUAUUCAAAUUCAGCUAUGACUAAAUCAACGCUUAUAAACUCCCAUUUAUUUAACCUACAUAUAUAAACAAUUGAUCAGUUCAUACUAGAAUUUGGUUUCAGUUGAUGCAUCCAAAGAUAAUUGCUGCACACAAUUAACUCCAUGUAUAGUUGUUUUUCAUAUGGAGACCUGGAGCUUAGUUUUACCAAUUUGCCAUUUGGAUGAGAUUAUACAUAUUCUACUUUAGGAAGGGUUCUUGCGAUCGGACUCUAUGUCAGUAUGAUUAUUGGUGGAAUAGUGCUUGCUGAUGUAUCAUUCACUGCAUAGUUCUCACUUCUCAGAGGAAUCUAUCUCGGCGCGAUUAUGCUUCGAGGGUUUUCAGCUGCAGUGUUGGGAUUCAACUGUUAUAGUAAGGUGUGUUGGUUAAGGGUGAGAGAAAGGAAGAAGCCAUGGAUUUAUUCGCUGCUAUCUUCUGAAUUGUGUGAACCUUCCUUAGUUUCAGCUUGGAGAAAAGGAGAAGGUAUCCAUAUAAUUUCCGUUCCACACUUUACUCAUUGCAUGUACCAUAACGUUAUUUUCUUCUUUCAAUCUCCAGCCCUAU